rnacentral:rRNA from 1 species
ACUGUGGUCUGCAACCCGACCACACGAAGCUGGAAUCGCUAGUAAUCGCGGAUCAGAAUGCCGCGGUGAAUACGUUCCCGGGUCUUGUACACACCGCCCGUCACACCAUGGGGAGUCAGCAACGCCCGAAGUCAGUGACCCAACCAUUAUAGGAGGGAGCUGCCGAAGGCGGGGCAGGUGACUGGGGUGAAGUCGUAACAAGGUAUC